GGAGAGGUGGCCGAGUGGUUUAAGGCGCGGUCUUGGAAAGGCCGAUCGGUUUUAAUCGACGCAGGUUCAAAUCCUGUCCUCUCCG
rnacentral:tRNA from 1 species